UACGGAGGGGGCUAGCGUUGUUCGGAAAUACUGGGCGUAAAGAGCUCGUAGGCGGCUUGGCAAGUCGGGUGUGAAACCUCCAGCUCAACCUGGAGACGCCACUCGAUACUGCCAUGGCUAGAGUCCGGUAGGGGACCACGGAAUUCCUGGUGUAGCGGUGAAAUGCGCAGAUAUCAGGAGGAACACCGGUGGCGAAGGCGGUGGUCUGGGCCGGCACUGACGCUGAGGAGCGAAAGCGUGGGUAGCAAACAGG
rnacentral:rRNA from 1 species